rnacentral:rRNA from 1 species
GUGGGGAAUAUUGGACAAUGGGCGCAAGCCUGAUCCAGCCAUGCCGCGUGAGUGAUGAAGGCCUUAGGGUUGUAAAGCUCUUUCACCGAUGAAGAUAAUGACGGUAGUCGGAGAAGAAGCCCCGGCUAACUUCGUGCCAGCAGCCGCGGUAAUACGAAGGGGGCUAGCGUUGUUCGGAUUUACUGGGCGUAAAGCGCACGUAGGCGGUUUGUUAAGUCAGAGGUGAAAUCCUGGAGCUCAACUCCAGAACUGCCUUUAAUACUGCCAGUCUAGAGUCCAGAAGAGGUGAGUGGAACUCCUAGUGUAGAGGUGGAAUUCGUAGAUAUUAGGAAGAACACCAGUGGCGAAGGCGGCUCACUGGUCUGGUACUGACGCUGAGGUGCGAAAGCGUGGGGAGCAAACAGGAUUAGAAACCCGAGUAGUCC